AGCGUCAGUUGCCAGUCCAGAAGGCCGCCUUCGCCACUGGUAUUCCUCCCGAUAUCUACGCAUUUCACCGUUACACCGGGAAUUCUGCCUUCCUCUCCUGUACUCAAAUUCAACAGUCUCACAUGCACUUCCAGAGUUAAGCCCUGGGCUUUCACAUGUGACUUGUCAAAUCGCCUACGCGCCCUUUACGCCC
rnacentral:rRNA from 1 species